rfam:Musca domestica strain aabys unplaced genomic scaffold Scaffold871, whole genome shotgun sequence.
GGUUCCAUGGUGUAGUGGUUAUCACGUCUGCCAUCAAGCAGAAGGACUCCGGUUCAAUUCCGGAUGGGGCCA